CUUAGACUGGUAGAGAUUAUUUGGUAAGAUGCCUCUUUGCCUAUUUUCUUGGCUUUUUAUUACUUUCUCUCUACCCUAUUAAAGGCCUCUUAGGGCCCAAAGGCUCCUAGUACUGUGCCCUGGAGAGAAAAAAAAGAGAUGAGCUACCAAACAUGAUGCAUGGUGAUGAUCCUGGUCCCUAUGAGACAGCAUAACAUGUUAUAACACUGCUCCUGCAUUCAGAUGGAGUGGGGUUUGAGUUUUUUGAGAGUCAUUUUCAACAUUUUAAAGGGUAGUAGAAGAAGAAGUAGUAGUAGUUCUUCAUUGUAAGAAGAACUACUACUUGUUGGGUUCUUGGAAUUCAGUGAGAUAGUGAAGCAUGGCACUUGGCACAUAGGGGUUGUUGAGUAAUACUCCCGUGGAAGGGAGGAGCAGUUCUAGCAACAGAUAUUUUCCCAGCAGGCUAACUGUCUAAAAUUCUGAGGCUGAGACGUGCUAGUCACAGAUCAGACAUUGUGAAGACCCAGUGAUUAAUGUGUUGGCCUUUGCUAGCUUACUCUUGCCUGCUUGCUCGCUGGCUGGCUUAUGACACAGGGAGGAAUGGGAUAACGUGACAUUCCUUCCUUCCUCCACUGCAAACCAGAUCACAUAAGUGAUGAUGUAGCAGUUGGUUGAUUGGCAUCCUGUAGCACCCAGCUCUGCAUCGCACAUAGGCAGUAGUCAGUACAUGUUUGAGGGAUGAGUGCAGGCAGCUACUGUAACUGUAAUUAAUCUCCUUAUCCCACCAUCCCUCUACUAUCCUCCCAAAGCAGAAUGGUUAAAGAAGGUGUGUGUCAGUAUACAAGUCCUAUGGGGUUUCAAGUCAGUACAGUGAUUGGUAUAUUCUUAAUUACUUACAGAGCAGCUACCAUUUUGUUGCAUGCAGUGUAACACUUCCCUGUCCCUUUUGGUGCAGAGCCAUGGGAAGAGUUCUGCCUGCUGUCACACUUCCUGAUUGCCACUUAAAAAUUCUCCCAAACUCACACACAUACCAGUAAUCUUCCUCUUCCACACUCUUGUCUAUCUCUUUUUGUAUUUCAGGGUGUCUAACAUACCAGAAGAUGGAGCCAAGAUCCAGAGUGGUGCCUGUGACUCAGAUCAGCUGCUGCCUCCCCAGACAGAACCUCUGGAAACUUAGAUUAAACACCUUUCUAUGACAGCUCUUCCUCCACAAUGCUUGAUAACAUCACCAUUGGAAACUUGAGAACCAACACCAACCAUCCCCACCCCCAGGUGAGGGGACUAAUGGGAAUUACUAAGAACCUCACAUCUGUCCCUAAAUCCAUUUCCCCUCAUACUUUACAAAUCUGGUUGUGUUUCAAUUUUUACUAUAGAAAACAAAUCAAAUACACCUAGUCCUGUAUUCUGGAUAUAGCAGGGAGAGGGCUAAAGGAGAGCUAGGAUGGGAAUUAGAGGCAGUCUUGGUUGGCAGCAGAGAGCUAAGGUUCUAGGGUCAGGCACUUCUUUCUGAGCUGUUGGCGGAAUUGUAUUGGGAGUAAACUCUUAUUACCAGAGAAAGUCUGUUGUGGUAGAAGAAUAUGAAACUUGGGUUCAGAAUCUAGCAUCAGUUGGCAUUAAACCACUUACCUUCUCUGACCUUAAAUUCCUCAUCUGUAAGUUAAGGGAUCUCUAAAGGGCCCUCUUUAAGCACCAUGAGUAUGAAGGGAUGCCAAAGAAUGCCCUUUGCAGUUUCUUUGCUCUAGCCCCAAAGUGGUUAUAUUCAUUUAUUCUCAGCUUGUCACCAGUGUUGCCCAUUACAUGUACUAUGCAAUAUAUUAGACAAUAUAAAAUUAACCUUAACAAUUCAGAAUGAGAACUAUUAUUAUUCCCAUUUUAUAGAUAAGAAAAUUGAAGUUCAGAAGUUUAUUUUGUUUGGGGGUGUCUGUUUUUGUUGCAUUGCCUGGCUUGUGGGCUCUUAGUUCCCUGACCAGUUCCCUGUGGCUUCUGCCAUGGAAGAGCAAAGUCUUAACCACUGGACCGCUAGGGAAUUCUAGAAGUUAAUUACCCCAAAGACACAAUUCCCAGGAUUUACACUAGAUCUGUCUUAUUUCAAAGUAUAUGCGUUUAUCUGUUUCCUACCUGCCAGUGAAGACUAUGUAAAAGAAAAAGUAUGGUUUAAAAGGAAAUGACUACCCUUUCCGAUCUGUUUCUCUUCCGCUUGAAUUUUGGGAAAUUUUCCUGCCCCUGUCCUCAAAGCCGCAGGAUAUCUUACUGCUCUUUUGAUCUGAAACUGCAGGUCUCUGGAAUUGCCCACGUGUGUAACAGUUUAGGUCUUCCGGUCAGGCGGAACCACCCACACCGCUGCUAGUGCUGUGUGGGGUGUUCCUCCUCGGUUUUCCUGGAGGUGGUCCCAGAUUGGAGUGGCAGCUGUAGUAACCAAUAGGCAUGGAUAUUGUUGGGCCAGACGUCAAUGAGGAAUCGGGCGAAGGAGAAGCGACGAUCAUUUGAGCAUGUAGGACCGGACUGAGGGAAAAUGGGGCUGUAUCAGAGGUGUCGGCGGCUUCGGUUCCCAGGGUUACACGCCUGCGGGCUGCACACGGUGCGUGAGGCAGCUGUGCCGACCCCUCCACACUGGUUGGUAGAGCGGCUUGGCUAUUUUGAGGAGCUAUGGACUGCUCAGGUAAAGAGGUUAGCAAGCAUGGCACAGGAGGAACAGCGGACUAUUAAGAUAUCACUUCCUGGAGGUCAGAAAGUCGAUGCUGUAGCAUGGAAGACAACCCCUUACCAACUAGCCCAGCAGAUCAGUUCAAACCUGGCGGAUACUGCAGUGGCUGCUCAAGUCAAUGGAGAACCUUAUGAUCUGGAGCGGCCCUUGGAGACAGAUUCUGACCUCCGGUUUCUGACAUUCGAUUCUGCACAGGGGAAAGCGGUAUUCUGGCACUCCAGUACCCAUGUCCUGGGGGCAGCAGCUGAACAGCUUUUAGGUGCUGUCCUCUGCCAAGGCCCAAGCACAGAAUGUGGCUUUUACCAUGAUUUCUUCUUAGGAAAGGAACGGACAGUCAAGGGCUCAGAGCUGCCUGUUUUGGAACGGUUUUGCCAGGAACUUACAGCUGCUGCUCAGCCCUUCCGGAGACUGGAGGCUUCUCGGGCUCAGCUUUGCCAGCUCUUCAAGGAUAACCCCUUUAAGCUUCGCUUGAUUGAGGAGAAGGUGACAGGUCCAAUGGCAACAGUGUAUGGGUGUGGCAUGCUGGUUGAUCUGUGCAGGGGCCCCCACCUUCGGCAUACUGGACAGAUUGGAGGCCUGAAGCUGCUGUCGGUCAGUCAUGAGGACUGGGUUAGGUUGAGAUUCCUGUGUUUUCACUGGAGUGAGUUGAAGAAGGGGAAGAACUCAUCAUCAGUGUGGAGAUUUCCAGGCGCCCCAGAGACACUGCAGAGAGUGUCCGGCAUUUCCUUCCCCACUGCAGAGGAGCUGAGGGCCUGGGAAGAAUGGAGGGAGGAAGCAGAGUUACGGGACCACCGGCGCAUUGGGAAGGAACAGGAGCUCUUCUUCUUCCAUGAACUGAGCCCCGGGAGCUGUUUCUUCCUGCCUCGAGGGACAAGGGUGUAUAAUGCACUGGUGGCUUUUAUCAGGUCACUCUGGUCUCCCAUGUCGGCAUCUCUGCAGGCUGAAUACACCCGCCGCGGUUUCUCAGAAGUGAAAACCCCCACGUUGUUUUCUGCGAAGCUCUGGGAGCUGUCAGGGCACUGGGAGCAUUAUCGGGAAGACAUGUUUGCCCUGCAGCCACCAGGCCUGGACAGGCCUUCCAGCUCUCAGAGCGACCACUCUGCCAGCUCCCCCACAGACACACUCGCCCUCAAGCCCAUGAACUGCCCUGCACAUUGCCUAAUGUUCGCCCACCGGCCCAGAUCCUGGCGAGAGCUGCCCCUGCGACUGGCUGACUUCGGGGCCCUACACCGGGCUGAGGCCUCUGGCAGCCUGGGGGGCCUGACCCGGCUUCGGUGCUUCCAGCAGGAUGACGCCCACAUCUUCUGUGCACCGGAUCAGCUGGAAGCAGAGAUCCGAGGCUGUCUUGAUUUCCUCCACUCUGUCUACACCAUCCUUGGCUUUUCCUUCCACAUGGCACUGUCUACCCGGCCAUCUGGCUUCCUGGGAGAGCCUUGCCUUUGGGACCAGGCCGAGCAGGUCCUGCAGCAGGCCCUAGAAGAAUUUGGAGCACCAUGGGAUCUCAACCCUGGAGAUGGUGCAUUCUAUGGGCCUAAGAUUGAUGUGCACGUCCGCGAUGCCCUGGGUCGACCCCAUCAGUGUGGGACAAUCCAGCUUGAUUUCCAGCUGCCCCUGAGAUUUGACCUCCAGUACAAGGGGCAGUCGGGGGCCCUAGAGUGUCCAGUCCUCAUUCAUCGCGCCGUGCUCGGUUCCGUGGAAAGGAUGUUGGGAGUGCUGGCGGAGAGCUGUGGGGGAAAAUGGCCACUGUGGCUGUCCCCGUUCCAGGUGGUGGUCAUCCCUGUGGGGACGGAGCAGGAGGAAUAUGCCAGAGAGAGAGAAGUAAGGAUAAUGGACAGUACUAGAGCCGAGCAGCUGGUUGGUGGUGCAGAGUGGUGUCUAGAAACAGGCAGAGUCCAGGGAGGCUUGGCUGCAGGAUGAGGCAGACAAGGAAGCUGUGGGGGCUGCAGAGGGGCCUCAUUGUAGAGAGUGAAGAGGGUUCGUCCCUGAGACCCGGAGAGCCUGGAGGCAGAGGAAGGAGGAGCAGGCACAGCAGAGCCUGCGAGCUGCGGGACUGGUCGGUGACCUGGACGCUGACUCGGGACUGACCCUCAGCCGGAGAAUCCGCCGGGCUCAGCUCGCACACUACAAUUUUCAGUUU